UUUGUUCUACUACUUAAUUGGGUUGGUAUUUACUUAUACUUAGUAACUGCUAAUAAAAUUUUGACCAACUUUAAAAGCAAUGCUCAGCUCUAACCAUCCUCUUUGGUAAGCCUUACACUUCACGUGAGCUCCCACCUUUGGCGAGUUCAUGCACAUUAUUCCCCACAACUUGUUGAGCGAUGAACGUAUGUGAGCUCACUCUUGCUGUCUCACACCCCCAAAGGUCAAGAACAGGUACCGCAGGAUGAGGCGCAAGGAGGAUGCUGCGAUGAGUUCGUGAGAGAUCUAGGUCGUCGUCUCCCAGUCAACUUUGGGUUGCUGGACCGUUGUCUCCUUAAAUGUAAUUAUUUAUUUUGUAUAGAACUCCUAUUAUAUAGUAAAGUUGUGACAUUCGAUCCUGUGCCACUAUGCAUCAUAUGUGUGAGACUUGGUCCCAGCACACCUGGUGAUUAUGUUCGCGCCCGGGCUUUGGACCCCUAAAACCCGGGUGUGACAGAAGUGGUAUCAGAGGAAUGUUGACUGUAGGACGAAACCUAGAUAGAACUGGAUAACCCUUAUCUACUUACCUUUACUACUCUGAUUCUUUCUAAACUUUUCUUAAUCUUUUCUCAUCUAUUUCCGCUUACUCUGAUUAUUCUUACCUUUUCAUUCUAAAGACAAAUGUGGAUUUCACACUUUGAAAUCCUAUACCUAUGGUGACCUUUAGGAAUAGGAGACCUACUCUUAGGAACAAAAUCAAAACUAUUUUUAUAGGUAUAUGUGUGCUUGAAUGUUUGUUCUUAUGAUACAUGUCUGAUUUGGUUCUUUGAUUGAGUGUGAUGAAUUGUGGAGUAAUAUCCACAAUUGCAUCUGCAUAUACAUAUAGGCGUAAAAAAACAAUAUGAUAACUCGACAAAUUAGAUUAUUCCUCAUUAAAAUAUAUCUAGCUUAAUAGAUCUAUCUUAUCUUAAAAGAUUCUCUCUUAUCUUAAUAGAUUCAUCUUACCUUAAAAAGAUUCUAUCUUAUCCUUCCGACUUGUCAUAACCACUUUGCUUACCUCAUCCUAGAGUAACAACCAUGAUCUAGCAUAAAAUAAAUAGAUCUUAUCUAGUUAUACCAAUCUGAUCUAGAUCCCACUAAUCUAACAUGAGCUAAUCCAAAUUGAGUUACUUAAGUAAGUUAGACAUAAAUUAGGCCCUGAUUCUAUAAACAUAUCUUACCCUAAAUUAAUGCCUUGGACUAACUCAUCCGUAAACAACAACCUAACCUACAUCAUAGGUUGCCUAAUCCAGAUAUCCUAAAAGCAAAGUAAAACUCUGUUUAAAUCUAACUACCUCAUGUACCCUAGCUAUCCUAGCUAUAGCCAUAUGUCCUCAACUCGGAUGGCAACUCUAGGAGGAAGGCCAAAGAAGACCAACAUCGUCAAGGAAGGAGAAGGAGAUCAACCUCGACAUGGAAGAAUACGAGUCAAAUCAGAUCUCGAGAUAAUUCAAGAUUCACCACCCAAGAUGAAGUCUUUGCUUAUUAUACUCAUCCUUGCCACGACCUAUACAUGCCAUAACCGUACCUCAUCUGACCUAAUAGAUGGCUAGACAUACAAUAUCCAUGUGUUCCAAAUCGUCUACUAACCGUUAUGUAAAAACUUGAACAAAACUUUGAUUUCCAAAACCCAAAUGAGAAACUAAAAUUCUAGACCAAACUUAUUGUAUCCCUUUUCUUACAAAUCUCGAGGACGAGAUUAUUUUUAAGGGGGGUAGAAUUUGUAGCAUCAAAAAAAUCAUAUUUUGACAAUUAGAGAAAAUCCUAUAAAGAUUUAAGAUUUUAUAUGUCUUUCUUAUAAAUUUUUGGAUUAAUGAAACUAUUUUUAGUCAAAUAAUAGUUAAUACAAAAAAUUUGGCCAUAUAUUUAUAUCCUUAAGUAAAUAGAAUGGUGAAGUAUUUCGCAUAACGUUUUCAUAUUGGGUUAUAUAUAUAUAUAUAUAUAUAUAUAUAUAUAUAUAUAUAUAUAUAUUUCAUUGCUACGUAUGUGAAGGUUUUUGUUUGAUGCAUGUAACGUGUGUUUGAAAUUCAGAACUAAACUUGAAUUUGAAAUUGAAAAUUUAAAAGUAGAAAAUGGGAAAGAAAAAAAAUGAAAUCUCACCCCUAACGUGAGCUAGCUGCCGCUCGGCCCACUUGCUGCUCAAUACUAGUGCAGCCCACGCCCCUUCAAUUCCUUUUUCCUUUGUUUAUUCCUCUUGCCGCAGAUGACAUCACCACGACGUCAUGGCUGACUUCAUCUAUAUUUCAAUGGCGCGUGGGGCCACAAUCCCAGAAUCUUCUCGCUGCCGUUCCGCUGUGAUCCGAACGCGUAAAUGCCGGGUCGUUCAUCGCGGCUUCGCUCGGAGUUGGCCUGCCUUCCGUGUAUAUAUAUAUGGCCUCGGGGGCCUCUACUCCUCAUCCAGCCAUCUCGUGCAAUCCACAGAAGUCCGCCUGCCAGCCCUCAACCCGGAGCCACAGGUUCCUUCGCCAUGCCGCUGCCUUGCCGAAUGGGAGACGACUGGGGAUGCUCCUGCCCGCCGGUGGCUGUCCCCUCCACCGUGAUAGUAGUAUGCGUGUGGCGAGCCGCCAGGAGCCGUAGGAGUUUGGCUGCCUCGCCAACCUGUGCUUCAAAUUGGGCACCAAGUGAAGGAAGAAGGCACUCUGGUGUUUGAUCUCGAUCGGACUCUGUACGUCGCGACGUUCGCUGCCAGGAUCGGGUGGAUUCCACUGGCUGUUCCAACCACCGCCGGGAGCUUCGGAUCUCGGGAGAAGUUGCAGCCACCCAUGUCUGCCCGUGCGCCCACUGCCCUGGGACUUCAUCGUUGGCGUCGUGCCUAGAGCUUGGGCAGUGCGCAUCGGAGAAAGAACUGGAGCCGCCAUUGUUGAAAUCUGGAGCUAGACUGCGCCGUCGGUGGUCUCGCUUUCGCUCUGCUUGCGGUAACUACUCGCCCUGUCCUGCUCGGUUCUAUCUCACCCUUGUCUCGCGCAACAGCAGUCGGACUAGGGCCCUUGAUCGCUGGCGGGUUGUGCGUGGUUGUGCUCACCGCUGCUACUAGCACCGCGGUGGGGAAGAACUACCGACGCCGGUCAGCCAUGGAGAGAGAGAGAGAGAGAGAAGGAAAUAGGAGGGCGUAGGGAGGAAGAAAACUGGCAGCCAUUGGAUUGGAAGUUGACGGUUAGGAUGGGAUAUGGGAAGGAUGUACCGUGGACCGUUGAUCGCGGAAUGGACGUAUCGGAUUAGAUUCACGUAUACCCGUUCGACUCAUUAAAUCCAGGGCGUAGAUCUUGGAUCCUGGGGCUCGGGUUGCGUACCGAUUUGAGCGCGGCCAGAUUUAAUCGUGACCUUUGGUUUAGAUCGGACGACCGAUGUUCUGCGAUACCCCGUCGCGAACACAUUUUCAUAAGAACCCCCUAGAGAUUGAAUAAUUAACCCGCAGUCCACUUGAUGGUUGGCUGAGUCUGGGCGAGUUUUAUAGAGUUGCCCCUGUGCUUUUCUGUAAUAGUGCGCAUGAUCCAGAGGAUAGAGAAAGAGGAUAAAUGAUUAUGGAAAUAGAUUUCUAGUAUAAAAUUUAUUGCAGAAAUUGUUUAAUUCUUAGAAAAUUCAUAUGAAGUUCAAAUUAAUCUAUUCCAGUUGCAAUAAUUUUGUUUUAAUAUUGUUCAUCAUCUAGUACCUUUGUUUAGCCAUAAAAAUUGAAUUAAUGUUAUUCACUUGAUUUAGUCUAUACUAAGCACUUAAUAACUUCGAAAAUUCAUAACUCCUCCGUUUUAACUCCGAUUUAAUCCGUUCAAGUUCCGUUAGUCUCGUAGCAACGCGUAGAUUAUUAUUACACAGUUUAUUCUUAUGUUUGGUGUGAUGUUAAUUUUGCGUAUACCAUGCUUGUUUGUAUUGCUACGACUAGCGCGAGGUUACGAGUCACCUGAAGAUCAUCCUGUUACCUGUAAUUUCAAGUGCCAGGCAAGUUGUGCCCUUGACCACUUUUUACCCAAUAAUGUUCUUUAAUAUCAUUUAUUCAUGCAUAGGUUAAUUUUGAUGGGACCCAAUAGGUUACCCUAGAUUGUUUAUCUCAUUAUCUUGUUUACCUCUGAAUCACUUGGGUAGUUUGCUAUUGCUUUACAUGGAUUUGGGAUAAUUAUUUAUCAUAGCUAUGUUCCAGUUAUUUUGUUAUUCUAUUUAUGUUCAUGUCAAGAUCAUUAAUGUUAACUGGAACAUAGAGCUUAACUUGAGAAACACGUGCCACCACAAGGGUUUAUGGACGCCCUUGGCUGAUUAAUUAGGAAAGCUGGUGGAGGACUACCUUACCCGAAAGGGGCAAGGGCAGUAGGGGAGUGGUCAGUGUAGGGAGGUCCUUGGUUGAUUUUGCUGCGAUGGCGGUCAGGCAAGAACCCUGCAUUGGAGCUUCCUAUAAACUGUAGCGGGUUUUCUGAAGCUAGUGGAACUUUGUAAAGGCCUCGUAGUGUUACCCUGCCUCGCCUCCUCGGUAGAGGUGUAUGGGAAGUCGCGAUCCCUUGGUAGAUGGGUAACAUGACUUGUGGGUAAAGGGUACCACCUCUGCAGAGUGUAAAACUGGUAUACUAGCCGAGCUCACGGUCAUGAGCAGCUCAGGACUCUCUGAUGAUUAACUUAUGGAACUAAAUUCAAUUUGUCAUAUGCAUUGCAUCGCAGGUGAUGUUGUUACUUUUGUUCUACUACUUAAUUGGGUUGGUAUUUACUUAUACUUAGUAACUGCUAAUAAAAUUUUGACCAACUUUAAAAGCAAUGCUCAGCUCUAACCAUCCUCUUUGGUAAGCCUUACACUUCACGUGAGCUCCCACCUUUGGCGAGUUCAUGCACAUUAUUCCCCACAACUUGUUGAGCGAUGAACGUAUGUGAGCUCACUCUUGCUGUCUCACACCCCCCAAAGGUCAAGAACAGGUACCGCAGGAUGAGGCGCAAGGAGGAUGCUGCGAUGAGUUCGUGAGAGAUCUAGGUCGUCGUCUCCCAGUCAACUUUGGGUUGCUGGACCGUUGUCUCCUUAAAUGUAAUUAUUUAUUUUGUAUAGAACUCCUAUUAUAUAGUAAAGUUGUGACAUUCGAUACUGUGCCACUAUGCAUCAUAUGUGUGAGACUUGGUCCCAGCACACCUGGUGAUUAUGUUCGCGCCCGGGCUUUGGACCCCUAAAACCCGGGUGUGACAGCGGCCUUCCUGCUGCUCCAAAUAAACGAUCUUUCCCUUGACCUACCUAAAGGGGUGAGGAGGAUCCUCGUCAUCUCCUCCCCCUGGCGCCGACACAUUCUUCGUGCGCGGCAUCCUGACCUGAUGACUGCAAAUGAGAGAGAGAAGCUAAGCACAAGUCGAUAACUGCCGAUAGAAUAUCAGAAGAGUGGAUGUCUACCUGGAAAGCUCACACGAGAGGUGAAAAUCCAGGUAGGACAGGAGACGGCUCACGGGCAGGCAAGGUCACUGAAAUGAUAGAAGAGGUGAACACAUAUUAGUCACAUAGUCAUAAGUAUAUGAAAUGUGAAUAAAUACAUACACAGAGAAUUAUGGCACAGAAAACGAGAGAUAUGGCAAUCGAGAGGUCAAACGACGCGAAAACGACGUUUGAACGAGAAAUAGUGCCAUAGGAGGUUUGGAAUUCGAAUUGAGGCAUGAAAUUACGUGGAAUUGAGCCGAUACUUCAUGAAUAGGUUUAUAUGGGUAAAUAUGAGUGAAGUGUGUGCUUGGUUUGAAUUUAGGCAAAGAAAAUGAAAUUUUGGCACUCGGCUCGGAACCGAUCGCCGAAACGGGGAAUUGUGUGAAAUUGAAGCCUGGUAUAUCGGAUUGGCGUGAAAUUGCGCGAAUAUGUUACUGAAAGUGUUAUGAAGGUGCCUGAAAAGUUUGGGUUCAAUCGGAGCAAUUUUGAGUGGUUUGGACAUUUCACCGAGCACGUGGCGUGCAGGGAAUUAGGGUUUUGGAGAAAAGCUCAUGUGAGAAUAUGAAGCCCUCCCUAAGGAGCUAGGAACCUGCAGGGGGAUAUAAUGUGGCACUAGGGACUCAUUCAAGCACAGAGAUUCACAGAAUUCGGAAGGAAUUUGGAAUUUGAGCAAUCAAGGGGUGGCAAGCUCACUGACCAGCGAAGUAGAGAUUAGAGAGAGGGAAGGCAAGGCUGCUCACCGAGAGGAGGCAGAGGUGCCC
rnacentral:lncRNA from 1 species